AUUGAACGCUAGCGGGAUGCUUUACACAUGCAAGUCGAACGGCAGCACGAGAAAGCUUGCUUUCUUGGUGGCGAGUGGCGAACGGGUGAGUAAUGUAUCGGAACGUGCCCAGUAGCGGGGGAUAACUGGCCGAAAGGUCAGCUAAUACCGCAUACGUCCUACGGGAGAAAGAGGGGGAUCGCAAGACCUCUCACUAUUGGAGCGGCCGAUAUCGGAUUAGCUAGUUGGUGGGGUAAAGGCCUACCAAGGCUGCGAUCCGUAGCUGGUUUGAGAGGACGACCAGCCACACUGGGACUGAGACACGGCCCAGACUCCUACGGGAGGCAGCAGUGGGGAAUUUUGGACAAUGGGGGCAACCCUGAUCCAGCCAUCCCGCGUGUGCGAUGAAGGCCUUCGGGUUGUAAAGCA
rnacentral:rRNA from 1 species